rnacentral:lncRNA from 1 species
ACUGCUCCAAGUACGCUGCUCUCUGAAGCAACCUUUCUCUUUCCCCUGGGAGAAAAAAGCCUCCAAGCAGGGUGUAGGAGAGGGCAGAGGGAAUGGCUGCCGAGGGCCCUAGGCCAGCCUUAUUUCUGUGCAGCGGGUUGAAUGGUGUCUCCCAUUCAUGUCCACCUGGAAACUCAGAAUGUGACCUUUUUUGGAAACAGGGUCUUUGCAAAUAUCAUUCAGCUUAGAAAGAGGAAGUUCGUGGGUUGCAAAGUGAGUAAUGGCUGCAUCUGGGAGCUGAUCAAAGGUGGCCAGCCAAGUUGAGUAGCCAGUUCGGUGUAUGAGACUUAACAACACUGGUGGAAGCAGAACCCUGCUGCCCGUGUCUGGGUGGGCGAGAGACUGGGGAAACACGGCCAGGAAGCAGCCCGGCAGAUGGGGGCUGAGCGCACUGGCAGGGGCAGGAGGAGCUGCAGAUCUUUUCUCAGUUGAGCUUCAGAUGAGACCACAGCCCCAGCCAGCUUCUUAAGUGCAGCCUCAUAAGAAACCGUAAGCAGAGAACCAAGAUAAACCAUGCCUGAACUCCUGAUCCACAGAAACUGUGAAAUAGAUCUGCCUGGAACCUGCCGGCCCCCUGCAGCUGGCUUCUUAAAUGCCUGCAGCUGGUGCAAGCCUCUCACUCCAAGAUGUUUCCACCCCAGACACAUCCCAGAGCCCCCUGCAUCUCCUGGGAGGACGAGGAUGGAUGGAAGCGUGCUGCCAACGCUGGGACACCUGCUUGCUUUCUGGGCAGUGGCCAGGAAAUCGCAUCUGCUGCCAGAAGAGAGCACCUGCACAUCCCGGAGAAGGGAAGGGGACAGAGCCGUGUGAUUCUAGCAGAGGAACACCCAUAGGAUUCCUUCUGUUGUUCCCAAGGUCCAGGCUCCCAGGCUGAGUAGGCAGGAAGGAGAAUGUGUCUUCACACAGGAAGCCUCACUGCCCAGAACAUGGGACAGAUCUAGCUGGAGCUGUGCUCAAACAGCUGUGGAGGCAUUAUAAAUCUCUCUCCCCGAGAUGAGGUUCAGAGGCUCUUGACAUGCCCUGCUAAUGGUAAAUCUUCCAGUGCCCACAGAGCAAGCCCUGGACUCUUAGAGCAUCAAGGUGAGACUGCCUGCCCCCCUUAAGCCUGUUAAUGGCAUCAGUGAUGUAUUCCCCUCCAAAUGUGGAAGGCUGCCUCUUUCUUCAUUGGAAGCAUCAAGGGAGUUUUAACUGUAAAACAGACUGUGCUUCAAAUCCCAUCUAAAUGCCUCAUCCUGAAGCUCUGACCUGCCACUUUUCUGCAAAUGACACUGGGUGAUUUGAAUGGGAUUAGAUUGGACAGUGGCCCCUGGCUGUUGUUUAAGUUUGUGUGGGUUUUGUUGUUUGUUUGUUUUAAUGCAACCUGUCUUUAAAUCUUCACUUUCAAAAAAAAAAAAAAGUGGUCAUUAGCCUUAUUUUUUAUUUAGAGGAUGUGAAGUCAGAAGUUCCCUUCCCUGAUUUAUUACCUCAUAGGUUUAUGACUUUGAAGAAUCAUUUCAUCUCUUUUAGUUUCCUCAUCUGUAGAAAGGUGAUUGUAAACUCUUUCUUAUCGGCUGGAUACAAAGAUGAAAUGAGAUAUCCU